rnacentral:rRNA from 1 species
AGAGUUUGAUCCUGGCUCAGGACGAACGCUGGCGGCGCGCCUAACACAUGCAAGUCGAACGAGAGAGAGGGAGCUUGCUUCCUUGAUCGAGUGGCGAACGGGUGAGUAACGCGUGAGGAACCUGCCUCAAAGAGGGGGACAACAGUUGGAAACGACUGCUAAUACCGCAUAAGCCCACGACCCGGCAUCGGGAAGAGGGAAAAGGAGCAAUCCGCUUUGAGAUGGCCUCGCGUCCGAUUAGCUAGUUGGUGAGGUAACGGCCCACCAAGGCGACGAUCGGUAGCCGGACUGAGAGGUUGAACGGCCACAUUGGGACUGAGACACGGCCCAGACUCCUACGGGAGGCAGCAGUGGGGAAUAUUGCACAAUGGGGGAAACCCUGAUGCAGCGACGCCGCGUGGAGGAAGAAGGUCUUCGGAUUGUAAACUCCUGUUGUUGAGGAAGAUAAUGACGGUACUCAACAAGGAAGUGACGGCUAACUACGUGCCAGCAGCCGCGGUAAAACGUAGGUCACAAGCGUUGUCCGGAAUUACUGGGUGUAAAGGGAGCGCAGGCGGGCGAUCAAGUUGGAAGUGAAAUCCAUGGGCUCAACCCAUGAACUGCUUUCAAAACUGGUCGUCUUGAGUAGUGCAGAGGUAGGCGGAAUUCCCGGUGUAGCGGUGGAAUGCGUAGAUAUCGGGAGGAACACCAGUGGCGAAGGCGGCCUACUGGGCACCAACUGACGCUGAGGCUCGAAAGUGUGGGUAGCAAACAGGAUUAGAUACCCUGGUAGUCCACACCGUAAACGAUGAUUACUAGGUGUUGGGAGAUUGACCCUCUCAGUGCCGCAGUUAACACAAUAAGUAAUCCACCUGGGGAGUACGACCGCAAGGUUGAAACUCGAAGGAAUUGACGGGGGCCCGCACAAGCAGUGGAGUAUGUGGUUUAAUUCGACGCAACGCGAAGAACCUUACCAAGUCUUGACAUCCCUUGACGAUGUUGGAAACAGUAUUUCUCUUCGGAGCAAGGAGACAGGUGGUGCAUGGUUGUCGUCAGCUCGUGUCGUGAGAUGUUGGGUUAAGUCCCGCAACGAGCGCAACCCUUAUUGUUAGUUGCCAUCAUUAAGUUGGGCACUCUAGCGAGACUGCCCGGGUUAACCGGGAGGAAGGUGGGGAUGACGUCAAAUCAUCAUGCCCCUUAUGUCUAGGGCUACACACGUGCUACAAUGGUCGGUACAAUAAGACGCAAGCCCGCGAGGGGGAGCAAAACUGGAAAACCGAUCUCAGUUCGGAUUGUAGGCUGAAACUCGCCUACAUGAAGCUGGAGUUGCUAGUAAUCGCGAAUCAGCAUGUCGCGGUGAAUACGUUCCCGGGCCUUGCACACACCGCCCGUCA